rnacentral:tRNA from 1 species
GCUGGGGACGUAGCUCAGUGGUAGAGCGCUUGCCUACCCUGCAAUAGCCUCUGGGUUGAACCCCCAGAUCUCCAGCA